GACGAACGCUGGCGGCGUGCCUAACACAUGCAAGUCGAACGGAAAGGCCCUGCUCUUGUGGGGUGCUCGAGUGCCGAACGGGUGAGUAACACGUGAGUAUCCUGCCCCUGACUUUGGGAUAACUUCAGGAAACUGGGGCUAAUACCGGAUAGGAGCUCCUGCUGCAUGGUGGGGGUUGGUAAGUUUCGGCGGUUGGGGAUGGACUCGCUGCUUAUGGGCUUGUUGGUGUGGUAGUUGCUUACCAAGGCUUUGACGGAUAGCCGGCAUGGGAGGGGGACCGGGGACAAUGCGACUGAGAUAGGGACCAGACGCGUACGGGAGGCAGCAGGGGGGAGUAUGACACAGUGGGCGGGAGCGUGAUGCAGCGACGCCGCGAGCGGGAUACCCGCCUACGGGUGAUAAACAGCUGUCGCCGGUGACGAAGAGUGAGUGACGGUAAUGAGUAAAGAAGCACCGGCUAACUACGUG
rnacentral:rRNA from 1 species